GCCACCUUUGGCGCAGCGGGGCGCUUGGCGUUACUGAAGCCGGCAGCCUUGGCAGCGGCGGCCCCCGCUUCGAUCGCGAGCGGCAGCGCC
rnacentral:tRNA from 1 species